UAAGAGUAUAAAAAAGAGAGAUAUAUUGACGCAUAUCCCUCAAUUGUAAAACCGUUUAAGAUGGUGACAAAAUUUUAGAUUAUUAAAAA
rnacentral:sRNA from 1 species